rnacentral:rRNA from 1 species
GACAGAGGUCCCGAGCGUUAGGCGGAAUCACUGGGCUUAAAGCGUGUGUAGGCGGAUCUGUAAGUACCUUGUGAAAUCCCACGGCUCAACCGUGGAACUGCUGGGUAUACUGCGGAUCUUGAGCCACCUAGGGGCGAGCGGAACAAGUGGUGGAGCGGUGAAAUGCGUAGAUAUCACUUGGAACGCCAAUGGUGAAAACAGCUCGCUGGGGGGUGUGCUGACGCUGAGACACGAAAGCCAGGGGAGCAAACGGG